rnacentral:rRNA from 1 species
UGCCAUGGCCAUACCAGCUUGUUAACGCCUGAUCUCGUCAGGUCUCUGAAGCAAAGCAAGGCCAGGUUUGGUUCGUACUUGGUUGGGAGACCACUAGGAAUAUCAGAUGCCACAGUGG